CGGGAAACUGGGGAUAAUACCGCAUAAGUCCGAGAGGAGAAAGGCGCAAGUCGCCGGAAGAGGAGUCCGCGGUCGAUUAGCUAGUUGGUAGGGUAAAAGCCUACCAAGGCUUUGAUCGAUAGCCGGCCUGAGAGGGCACACGGCCACACUGGCACUGAAACACGGGCCAGACUCCUACGGGAGGCAGCAGUGGGGAAUCUUGCACAAUGGGGGAAACCCUGAUGCAGCGACGCCGCGUGAGCGAUGAAGCCCUUCGGGGUGUAAAGCUCUUUCGACAGGGACGAUAAUGGCGGUACCUGGAGAAGAAGCUGCGGCGAACUACGUGCCAGCCGCCGCGGUAACA
rnacentral:rRNA from 1 species